GCUGUGGCUCAGCAGGACAGCGCCUGCUUGGCAUGCAGAAGGUCCCGGGUUCAAUUUCCGGCAUCUCCA